AUUGAACGCUGGCGGCAGGCCUAACACAUGCAAGUCGAGCGGAUGAGUGGAGCUUGCUCCAUGAUUCAGCGGCGGACGGGUGAGUAAUGCCUAGGAAUCUGCCUGGUAGUGGGGGACAACGUUUCGAAAGGAACGCUAAUACCGCAUACGUCCUACGGGAGAAAGUGGGGGAUCUUCGGACCUCACGCUAUCAGAUGAGCCUAGGUCGGAUUAGCUAGUUGGUGAGGUAAAGGCUCACCAAGGCGACGAUCCGUAACUGGUCUGAGAGGAUGAUCAGUCACACUGGAACUGAGACACGGUCCAGACUCCUACGGGAGGCAGCAGUGGGGAAUAUUGGACAAUGGGCGAAAGCCUGAUCCAGCCAUGCCGCGUGUGUGAAGAAGGUCUUCGGAUUGUAAAGCACUUUAAGUUGGGAGGAGGGCAGUAAGUUAAUACCUUGCUGUUUUGACGUUACCAACAGAAUAAGCACCGGCUAACUUCGUGCC
rnacentral:rRNA from 1 species